rnacentral:tRNA from 1 species
UUCGAGGUGGCAGAAUAUUGUGUUAGAUUUAGGCUCUAAAUAUGAAGAUUGAUUAACUUCUCUCGAUA